rnacentral:rRNA from 1 species
AAACCCCCUCGCCGAAAGACUAAGGUUUCCUGAUCAACGCUAAUCGGAUCAGGGUCAGUCGGGUCCUAAGGCUCAGCCGAACGGCGAUGCCGAUGGCAGAAACGGUUAAUAUUCCGUUACUACCUUCAGGAGUGACGUGGAGACGCAGUAGUGACAGUGCCGCCAUCUGACGGAAUAGAUGGUUGAAGGGUGUAGGAGUCGAUCAUGGCAGGCAAAUCCACCAUGAGAUCCGAACCUGACAGUAUGCCGCGUCCUUCGGGACAAGGCAAUAGUGCGCGUAAGCAUGCUGCCGAGAAAAUCCGCUAAACUUAAUCCUGCAGGUACCCGUACCGCAAACGGACACACGUAGUCGGGAUGAAUAUUCUAAGGCGCUUGAGUGAUUCACGGUUAAGGAACUAGGCAAACUGACCCUGUAACUUCGGGAUAAAGGGUCCCUACCCUUUUAUGGGAGGGCGCAGAGAAUCGGUCCAGGCAACUGUUUAACAAAAACACAGGGCUGUGCCAAAUCGAAAGAUCCAGUAUACAGCCUGACACCUGCCCGGUGCUGGAAGGUUAAGAGGAGAUGUCAUCGAUAAGAGAAGCGUUGAAUUGAAGCCCCAGUAAACGGCGGCCGUAACAAUAACGGUCCUAAGGUAGCGAAAUUCCUUGUCGGGUAAGUUCCGACCUGCACGAAUGGUGUAAUGAUCUGGACACUGUCUCAACCGUGAGCUCGGUGAAAUUGUAGUAUCGGUGAAGAUGCCGAUUACCCGCGAUGGGACGAAAAGACCCCGUGAACCUUUACUAUAGCUUAUCAUUGAAUCUGGGCACGUGAUGUGUAGGAUAGGUCGGAGGCUUUGAAGCAGGUACGCCAGUAUUUGUGGAGCCGCUGUUGAAAUACGACCCUUUAUUUGUUUGGAUUCUAACCCGUGGAUACGGGGACAUUGAUUGGUGGGUAGUUUGACUGGGGUGGUCGCCUCCAAAAGCGUAACGGAGGCUUCUAAAGGUGCCCUCACGGCGAUUGGUAACCGCCGUUAGAGUGUAAUGGCAUAAGGGCGCUUGACUGGGAGACUGACAAGUCGAUCAGGUAGGAAACUAGAGCAUAGUGAUCCGGUGUUUCCGUAUGGAAGGGACAUCGCUCAAAGGAUAAAAGGUACUCCGGGGAUAACAGGCUGAUCCCUCCCAAGAGCUCAUAUCGACGGAGUGGUUUGGCACCUCGAUGUCGGCUCGUCACAUCCUGGGGCUGGAGAAGGUCCCAAGGGUUGGGCUGUUCGCCCAUUAAAGUGGCACGCGAGCUGGGUUCAGAACGUCGUGAGACAGUUCGGUCUCUAUCUAUCGUGGGCGUAUGAAAUUUGCGUGGCUCUGACACUAGUACGAGAGGACCGUGUUGGACAGACCUCUGGUUUGCCGGUUGUGCCGCCAGGUGCAUUGCCGGGUAUCUAAGUCUGGAUCGGAUAAGUGCUGAAAGCAUCUAAGUACGAAGCCGGCCACAAGAUUAGAUUUCU